UUUAUAUACUAAACGUGCUUGAAUAAAGUCUGUAAAAGAAAAAGAUUUUUUGGCAAAUAAAAUUUUUUUACUAUCUUCUAUAUAAUUGCUUAUAAUUAAUAUUUAAUGUAACGCUGCUGCUGUUGCUUUUCAAAGGUCAAACUUUUGAUGAAAGUCAAACUUUGGAUGAAGUUGGUGUUUAUCUCAAAAACCCUUGCAUCUCACACGAUCAACUCUAUGUUUCAUGUUCAAGAAGAAGAUUAUUUAAUACUAUUUUAAAAUUACAGAAAAUUUGUUUGAAAACUAAAAAAAAAAAAAAAAAUAAGGUGGUAUUUUUUGUAAGUGGUUUUAUCUUGUUUGCAUGGUUUCAAAGUGUUGUGACUUGGCUUAGUUUACAGCAAAAUUGUUGAUCUUGCUAGCAAAAUGGCGCACUUUGCUCUAAUGUGAAUUGGCUUGUUGAGAGCAAGAAUGUUGUCCUUGCCAGUCAAGUGGUGUACUGUCAUGAUGAAACAUAUAAAUUAAAUCUGUUUGUAGUUAGCGUAAUCAUAAAAUGCGUUGAAAAAAUAUUGUUGAAAGAAUGUGUUUAAAAGAAAUAUAUAUUUUUUAAUA